rnacentral:rRNA from 1 species
UGGGGAAUAUUGGGCAAUGGGCGCAAGCCUGACCCAGCCAUGCCGCGUGAGUGAUGAAGGCCUUCGGGUCGUAAAGCUCUGUGGGGAGGGAAGAAACAGCCUAUGGCUAACAUCCAUGGGCCCUGACGGUACCUCCUUAGCAAGCACCGGCUAACUCCGUGCCAGCAGCCGCGGUAAUACGGAGGGUGCAAACGUUGCUCGGAAUCAUUGGGCGUAAAGCGCACGUAGGCGGCCGACUAAGUCAGGUGUGAAAGCCCUCGGCUCAACCGAGGAAGUGCACUUGAAACUGGCCGGCUUGAAUAUGGAAGAGGGUUGCGGAAUUCCCGGUGUAGAGGUGAAAUUCGUAGAUAUCGGGAGGAACACCAGUGGUGAAGGCGGCAACCUGGGCCAAUAUUGACGCUGAGGUGCGAAAGCGUGGGGAGCAAACAG